rnacentral:rRNA from 1 species
CCUACGGGAGGCAGCAGUGGGGAAUAUUGGGCAAUGGGCGCAAGCCUGACCCAGCAACGCCGCGUGAAGGAAGAAGGCCCUCGGGUUGUAAACUUCUUUUAUAUAGGACGAAGAAGUGACGGUACUAUAUGAAUAAGCCACGGCUAACUACGUGCCAGCAGCCGCGGUAAUACGUAGGAUGCGAGCGUUAUCCGGAUUUAUUGGGUUUAAAGGGUGCGCAGGCGGAGGUGCAAGUCAGCGGUCAAAUUGCGGGGCUCAACCCCGUACUGCCGUUGAAACUGCAUCCCUUGAGUGCGCGAGAAGUA